UUUGUGUUAAAAUGGAAAAUAUCUAUCAUCUAGUUGACGUUUUUCUACAGUUAAAAUGGCUAAAUAUUUUCUUCGGCAUAUUGGAAAGAAGACAUUUUUGCGAAAUUUUUAGAAGCUUCAUGCUAUCAAAAUUAAGAAAACUCUGCCAUUUUGUCAACUGAUAGUCCUACACUUAACACCUUUGCAACUCAGUGGAUAUUUUUCAUUCGAUUGUGAGCUUGUGAAUUUUCAGUUUUUUCAAUCAUAAUUUAGUGUUAUAAGCUGAUUAUAUUUAAUAUUUAUCUGAAUAUCUUGAGAUUGGUACAUUUCCUGGUGGUUAAAAUAUACAAUUUAUUUCAUCUUGAUGUGAUGUUUAUUUCAUUAUUCCUCAUCCAAUAAAUCGAAAGAUUUCUUGUCAAAAUUUGUCUGGUAUGCAGAGUAAAAUAAAUUGGGACAAAAUAUCACAUUCUUAUGCUUUGCUUUCAAUCGCCGCUGUUGGUUUGCCUAUUGCUCCUGUUUAACGAUCAGUCUGUUGUUCGAUCUAUUGUUUAAAGUGUGUGAACAAGUAAACUGUCCGUCCAGCCGCACACGGGAGAAGAAGCGAGCAAUAAUAGCACAAAAAAAACUGAACAACACCUUGAAAGGAGGAAAGCCACCUGUUGCAGGAUAUUUAUAUUUCAAUAAUCCUCCCGUGUGUACAAAACACUUUAAAUAUUAACUUUUAUAAAAAUUUAUAAAAAAAUGAAGAUUUUAUAAAAGGAAAAAAUCAGUAGCAAAAUAAGCGGUAAGAAUCUAUCAAGUGGAUGAGUUGUUAACAUACCAGUUUUAAAAUUUGUUGUUGUUUUUAAGAAGCAAAAUUCUAAAAGAAACCGAGAAUUCAUGAUGUGGUUAAAGUAAAAUGAUAAGUUAAUUUAUUUAAACUAUUUUUGUUAAAUUUGAGUGUUAUUUCUAUCUUCAUCAGCAUUGCCUAAAAAUAAUUUAUUUAU